CUUGAAACACGGACCAAGGAGUUUAGCGUGUACGCAAGUCAUUGGGUAAAGAAAACUCAAAGGCGAAAUGAAAGUAAAUAGUGGAACAUUGAUAUUUAAAAAUUUAUUUUUAUUUAUUAAUUUCCCUAUAGGGAAGAUGGAUAACUAAAUUAAUAAUGUUUUUUAUAGUAUUUUAUACUAUUUUUAAUGUUUUUAAUAAAAGUAUCCCGCAUUCCCGGGGCGCUUGUUUCUGGCUUUGCUAGUCACUGCGCACCUAGAGCGUACACGCUGAUACCCGAAAGAUGGUGAACUAUGCCUGGCCAGGACGAAGCCAGGGGAAACCCUGGUGGAGGUCCGCAGCGAUUCUGACGUGCAAAUCGAUCGUCGGAGCUGGGUAUAGGGGCGAAAGACCAAUCGAACCAUCUAGUAGCUGGUUCCCUCUGAAGUUUCCCUCAGGAUAGCUUGCGCUCAAUGAUACGAGUCUCAUCCGGUAGAGCGAAUGAUUAGAGGCAUUGGGGUCGAAACGACCUCAACCUAUUCUCAAACUCCAAAUAGAUGAGAACCACGGCUUUCUUAAAAAUGAAGCCGUGGGAUUAGGAUCAGAGUGCCAAGUGGGCCAAUUUUGGUAAGCAGAACUGGCGCU
rnacentral:rRNA from 1 species